AUCAGUGAGAUCAAACAAAACAUACCCAAUCAGUGAAGAAGCCAGGCCAGUCCCAAAAAGCCAAUGGGGGGCCAGAAGACCCUCAUCCAUAUACCACCAGAUAACCAGAAAUACACAAACACUGCACAGCUGCGGGAUCACCACACUGGACUCAAAUACCAUAGCCCAAUAUUGGUAUUUCCGAGCAUUGAUGUUUUUCCAGAGCUCUUCCAGGAACCGCUGAUCCACAUAGUUAUCAGGAAAGGGCUGUUGCUCAUACAAGACCCUCUGCCACUUUACCUCCUUGGUGUUAGUUACAGGUUGGGUACACAUUAUCCUUUCAUUCAAACUCAGGCCAGUUUAAUUAUCCCUGUCACAGAGGUCCAUAUGGUUCUUGUUGAUGACAUUUUGAAAUGAGACCUCCCUGGAAAUUCCAUGCCUUGGUUGAUAUUCUACCGACCUUUCCUUGUUUUCAAAGACAGCAAUCCAGGCCAGGCCUACAAUAGAUGAGUUUGUCUCUGAGGCAGGAUAUAAUACAGCCAAGUUCCUGUCUGAGAGUUCCUGGGGAUGUGUGGCUGGGGGAUGGUGGUUGCCUGCCUUUUUCCUUGUAAGGGAAUUUUUUUUUUUUUUUUUUUUUGAGAUGGAGUCUCGCUCUGUCGCCCAGGCUGGAGUGCAGUGGCGCAAUCUCGGCUCACUGCAACCUCUGCCUCCCAGGUUCACGCCAUUCUCCUGCCUCAGCCUCCCAAGUAGCUGGGACUGCAGGCACCCGCCACCAUGCCUGGCUAAUUUUUUUGUAUUUUUAGUAGAGACGGGGUUUCACCGUGUUAGCCAGGAUGGUCUCGAUCUCCUGACCUCGUGAUCCACCCGCCUUGGCCUCCCAAAGUGCUGGGAUUGUAGGCGUGAGCCACUGCGCCCUGCCAUGAGGGUACUUUUAAAGAAGGUAACAUCUUCCAUGGUGUAUUCAAUGAGGUCAUGUCUGGAAUUGUUCCCUUGAGGUGGAGGCUGCUUUGUGGCCACUGUGCCUGGCGGUUGUAUGAUCCUGGGUUCCUGGGCUGAGAAGCCACAGCCUCAGAGUGUUUGGGGCCUUUUCCUCCCGCUCCAAGGCUGAAGGAGAGGAGCUUACCUCCAACUGCACAGCGCUGAUCACCACUUCCUGCAGUCAUUCUUCUGAAUCUCAAAAACUCUUCUUUUGUAAGAGUAGAUUCUUGCAAGAUAUUUUUCCCCUCCUGAGUUCUUACAUUGCCAGAGUUCCAUUUGGACAGUUUGAAAUCUUGAUGCAUGAAUAACUGGCUUCACAGACCCUUGGCCCCCCACUACCUCGGUGUCCACUGGUGGAGUUCUGCAACUGGCAAAAGUCAAGAAUGAAGGAAGCAAACUUCAGAACCACAAUAUUCAUAUUGAAUCAUUUUGUUGUUGCUCUAUGAAGAUAAGCUAAUUUUCUUCCUGGAAUCUCAUAGGAUUAUUACUAAGGGCCAGGGAGAUCCACUUCGUUCAUUUAGUCACUCAGGAAGCAUUGCUAAGCAUCCCCCUGUACCUUCCCCUACAGUUCUCCUUCCAAAACGAAACAUCCUUUGGAGUGUGUUGUCCUCCAGAGUCGAAUGGAUUCUAUAUGCUGCAUUCAGUAACAGGUUGUGGAGACAAGUGUCUUUUCCUGAAAUUGCUAAGUGUAUUUGGCAGUACUUUACUACUUGUGGAUAGAACUGAGAGUGAGGUCAGUAUCACCAAGCCUUUUGGAUUUCUUCAAUAGUCUCAUGGAUGAGUGAAUGUUUAGAGUAACUGCUACUUUGUUGGCUCUUGGUUGGGAUUCUCAGUCCCGGUGUUUUUAAAAAUCUCAUUCCGGCCGGGCGCGGUGGCUCACGCCUGUAAUCCCAGCACUUCGGGAGGCUGAGGCAGGCAGAUCACCUGAGGUCAGGAGUUCAAAACCAGCCUGACCAACAUGGCAAAACCCGUCUCUAUUAAAAAUACAAAAAUUAGCCGGGUGUGGUGGCACAUGCCUGUAAUCCCAGCUACUCGGGAGGCUGAGGCAGGAGAAUCACAUGAACCCUGGAGGUGGAGGUUGCAAUGAGCCAAGAUCACACCAUUGCACUCCAGCCUGGGUGACAGAGUGAGACUCCGUCUCAAAAAAAAAAAAAAAAAAAUCUCAUUCCGUCUAAAGCAAGCUACAAAAUGUGAUUAUUUAUGUCACGAUAUGAUCCAGCCAUAAAUGUACUUCAGGUAAGAAGGACACUGACAUGAUAUCUUACUGAUCAAAUGCAGUCGGUAGGUAUAUAUGAACAUUUUUCUCUGUGAAGAAAAGCUAUUAAUAAGUUUGACUUAAUAGGCCUGUAGUAUGCACAUACUGGCCAAGAUUCUAAAUGGAUUAUUCAGCAGUUCUGUUUUUGUGGAGGUGCUUAUUCUCAUUUCUCCAAAGCCUUAAGAUUCCUGGGAAUAGAGGAAAUGUUGCUGCCACCAACUUUGCUGGUGAAUUUCAAAGAGAAUAGGUGUUUGCUGUUUGAUUUCCAGUGACCUUUUGGCGAGCUCUGAUUUAUAUGUAGAACAUUUGUGUUUCUUUUCAUUUUGAGGCCAGGUGGUAGAGUGGAAAGACUGGGAGCUGUCAGGAAACCAAGGCUUGGAUCUCCACUCUGUUACGUACCAGCUGGGGCAAAUCAGGGCCCAUUCCCAACUCCUUUAAAAUGAAAGGACUAGACUUGGUCUUUAAGCUCCCUUCCGAUUCUAACAUUUGGUGGUAGCAGGAUUGUGCACAAAGCUCCUGAUUUAGAGAAAGAUCUGGGUUUUAGUCUUUUUUCCUCUAUAGCCGCCUUACCGGUUGUACAACAUUGGGCCAGCCAUUCUCCCCAAGGCCUCGGUAUUUUCAUUGUUAAAUGGGAACAAUCCUAAUUCACACUGUUGCUGUGAGGAUUACAUUUGGUAAUGAAUGAUAGAAUGCUUUGUACAUGGAAAAGGACUAUACCUUUCUUUUUUAACUACAAAGGCAAACAUGUAACCCUCUACCUGUGGACGCACAUUUGCUAUGGUGUUACAUUCCACUGGUAGCUCCCAACCUCCCUUCAUUCAAGCACAUUUUACAGGCCUACAGGGAAGGUUUUCUUCCUGUCCUCUCCUAAGACUUGUUCACGUUCGUCAUCUCUUCUAUACUAGAGCUGCAGUCUUACAUUUGCUUACUUCUUGACAUCCACCCCCACCCCGGUGAUUUCUCCCCAUCUCCACCUCUAUAUUAUUUGAACUAAAUGAAUUCAUGAAUGAACAAAUGAGUGGAUGAAUGAAUGGUAAUGGAUCAUGGGCUAUGAAGUCAUAUUUAAAGGCACUAUCUCAUUUAAAAACAAUCUAAAUAAAUAACUACAAUGAUA
rnacentral:lncRNA from 1 species